rnacentral:rRNA from 1 species
UACAGAGACUGCAAGCGUUAUUCGGAUUCACUGGGCGUAAAGGGUGCGCAGGCGGUUGGGUGUGUCAGAUGUGAAAUCCCGAGGCUUAACCUCGGAACUGCGUCUGAAACUACUCGACUAGAGUACUGGAGAGGGAAACGGAAUUCGACGGUGUAGCAGUGAAAUGCGUAGAUAUCGAUGAGGAACACCAGAGGCGAAGGCGGUUCCUGGACAGUUACUGACGCUCAGGCACGAAAGCAUGGGGAGCAAACAGGG